GAAGCAGCAGACAGUAGGGUUGCAGAAACUACCUACGCAGCAGCAAUCAGGCUCACUGGACUUACUUUUCAGAUCAGUUUAUGCCUUUGCAUCUUGCUGUUCCAGUUUCAAGAAGUUAAGGAAGAUAACUGGAGAUGUGAUAACGAUACCAGACUGAGAAGAAACUGACCCUCAUUAGAAAGAUGAUGGAGACCACAUUUCCCCCUAACCG